rnacentral:rRNA from 1 species
UACAGAGGUCUCAAGCGUUGUUCGGAUUCAUUGGGCGUAAAGGGCGUGUAGGUGGUUACGUAAGUCUGGCGUGAAAUUUCUCGGCUUAACCGAGGCAGGUCGUCGGAUACUGCGGGACUAGAGGACGGUAGAGGCGUGUGGAAUUCCGGGUGUAGUGGUGAAAUGCGUAGAGAUCCGGAGGAACACCAGUGGCGAAGGCGACACGCUGGGCCGUACCUGACACUGAUGCGCGACAGCAUGGGGAGCAAACAGG